GACGAACGCUGGCGGCGUGCUUAAUACAUGCAAGUCGAACGGAAAGGCCCUGCUCUUGUGGGGUGCUCGAGUGGCGAACGGGGGAGUAACACGUGAGUAACCUGUCCCUGUCUUUCGGAUAUCUUCAGGAAACUGGGGCUAAUACCGCAUAGGAGCUCUUGCUGCGCGGUGGGGGAUGGAAAGUUUCGGCGGUGGGGGCUGGACUCGCGGGUUAUCAGCUUCUUGGUGGAGUAGUGGCUUACGAAGGCUGUGACGGAUAGCCGGCCUGAGAGGGUGAACGGGGACAAGAGGACUGAGGUAGGGCGCAGACUGGUACCUGACGCAAUGGUCGAGAGUCUUGCGCAGUGAGCCGGAGCGUGAUGCGGCGGCGCCGCGUGCGUGAUGACGUCCUAUGGGGUGAGAACAACUUUCGCAUGAGACGAAGCGGUAUUGACGGUAAUGGAUAAGAAAGCACCGGCUAACUACGUG
rnacentral:rRNA from 1 species